rnacentral:rRNA from 1 species
GGCGAAGCGAUAUCUCGGUUACAGUAUUGAGUCGCGAGCGAAAGCUGGGGAGCGAAUAUGAUAGAACCCUGGUAGUCCACGCCUAAACGUGAGUGCUAAGUGUUAGGGGGUUUCCGCCCCUUAGUGCUGCAGCUAACGCAUUAAGCACUCCGCCUGGGGAGUACGGUCGCAAGACUGAAACUCAAAGGAAUUGACGGGGGCCCGCACAAGCGGUGGAGCAUGUGGUUUAAUUCGAAGCAACGCGAAGAACCUUACCAGGUCUUGACAUCCUCUGACAAUCCUAGAGAUAGGACGUCCCCUUCGGGGGCAGAGUGACAGGUGGUGCAUGGUUGUCGUCAGCUCGUGUCGUGAGAUGUUGGGUUAAGUCCCGCAACGAGCGCAACCCUUGAUCUUAGUUGCCAGCAUUCAGUUGGGCACUCUAAGGUGACUGCCGGUGACAAACCGGAGGAAGGUGGGGAUGACGUCAAAUCAUCUGCCCCUUAUGACCUGGGCUACACACGUGCUACAAUGGACAGAACAAAGGGCAGCGAAACCGCGAGGUUAAGCCAAUCCCACAAAUCUAUACUCACUUGGUGUCGCAGGCUGCGACUAUUACUGAAUGGAGCAGGUUCGCUAGUAAUCGCGGAUCAGCAUGCCCCGGUGAAUACGUUCCCGGGCCUUGUGCACACCGACCCUCACACCACGAGAGUUUGUAACACCCGGAGUCGUGAGGUAGCCUUUUAAGAGCCAGCCGCCCAAAGUGGGACAGUGAUGGGGUGAAUCUAACAGAGAGCCGCUCG